AUAUAUAACGUUUACUGUUUCGUCGUGUAAUAAAAAUAAAAUAAAAGUCGUCUUGCCGCGCCGUUGACGUAAGAUUUGCACGGCGCCUUCCACUCUGCCCCUGUCCCUACUAUAAAAGCGUUCGCCCCCCGUCAUUUUGAUAAAAACCAUGUAAAAAUAUAUCUAAAUAAAAUAUAAAAUAAAAGGCUCGACGUCGUCGUCACCUCUCUCGCCGUCCACGAGUCACGGCGGGCGGGCGGCGGCGGCGGCCGGGGGUCCCGGUUGCACACGGCUCGCCACCAUGCCUGACCCCACCACCAAACUCCCCUCUCCACGCCCCCGCCGGCGCCGCAGGCUCUUCAGCCUCUGCCUCGGCACAGCGCUCCUCGCGCUCAUCGUCUCCGCGCUCGUCCACGUCGUCGCCCAGCCGCCGGGUCCCGCUCCCGCCUCCGCGCGCUUCUCCGUCAUCAUAGACGGAGGCAGCACGGGCACCCGGGCCCACGUCUUCGCGGCGGGGCCCGACGGCCGCCCGGAUCUGGCGCGCUCCACCGUGAUGCGCGUCUCCCCGGGCCUCUCGUCCUUCGCCGCCGACCCGGCGCGGGCCGGGGAGUCCCUGAAGCCUCUGUUAGAUUUUGCGAGGGAUAAGAUUGGCGGCGCCGUUAGGGAGGCGGAGGUGCGGCUCAUGGCCACCGCAGGGCUGCGCCUGCUCGAGGAGCGCGCCCAGGAGGCGAUCUUAGCGUCUUGUAGGGACGUUCUACGAGCCUCUGGGUUCCGGUUCGAGGACGCGUGGGCCAAGGUGAUCCCAGGCUCGGAUGAAGGUGUCUAUGCUUGGGUUGCGGCAAAUUAUGCUCUUGGAAGACUUGGAGGGGAUCCUAACAAAACCGUUGGAAUAAUUGAACUUGGGGGCGCUUCAGCUCAGCUUACCUUUGUUUCUGAUGAAGUACUUCCACCCAAACUGUCAUAUAAUUAUACUUUUGGUGAAACAACAUACACUCUCUAUACCAACAGCUUUUUAAACUUUGGUCAAAAUGCAGCUCAAGACUCAUUCCAUGAAAUGCUGAGGUCAAGAGGCUCUUUCAAAAAUGGUACACUUGCUGAUCCUUGUGCUCCCAGAGGAUAUUCACGCAAUGAAGGUGCUUCAAGGUCAACAUUAGAGAACCAGUAUGUUAAUAAUGGGACUGGAAACUUUACAGAGUGCAUAUCUUCUUCACAACUUUUACUGCAAAAAGGAAAGGCAUGAUGUUUUACAGAUUAGUGCCACAUGUAUCUCAUAUAAAUGCAGAAAAGUGCCAGUAUCAACAAUGUCACCUGGGAUCUACUUUUGUACCUGAGCUGCGUGGAUACUUCUUGGGAACUGAAAAUUUAUAUUUUACUUCAAAGUUCUUUGGACUUAAGAAGUCUUCAUCACUAUCUGAUUUCAUGUUUGCUGGAGAACAAUUUUGCAACCAGCAUUUGUCGAGUCUUAGAAAAAGGCAUCCUAAUAGGUCAGAUGAGGAUUUUUCACGGUAUUGCUUCUCGAUGGCAUACAUUGUGGCUCUACUGCAUGACAGUCUUGGUGUACCACUGGAUGACAAGAGGAUUGAGUAUUCAAACCAGGUUGGAGACAUUCAGGUUGAAUGGGCUCUAGGAGCUUUCAUCACACUGAUGCAAAAUACGAGUUUAAAGCCAUUACACACCACCGCAGAAUCAACCCAUAGCAAUAGACCAUUGUUUGCUGUGCUGGGAAUGUUUCUUUUAUGUGGAGUACUCUUUGUAUCAAGAUGGAGGAAGCCCAAGACGAAAAUCAUAUACGACUUAGAGAAAGGCCGAUACAUCAUAACACGCAUCAGCUGACGCUAAAUCUUGUGCAGAAGAACUAUAUUUAUACGACAUGAAUAGAUGCUGUGUUGUGCAACAAUGUACGAGUUCAAUUCUUUGUGUUUUUACCUUUAGGUAGCAGAGCUGGGUGGGUGGAGCAGGAAGAUAGCGCAUUUGUGCGUAUAGAAGAAUGAUGUGUAGAACAAAUUGCCAUGUGUUAAUUGAAUUAUUUGAUGAAUAAUUAUAGUUGCUUUGUUCA